rnacentral:rRNA from 1 species
UACGAAGGGGGGCUAGCGUUGCUCGGAAUCACUGGGCGUAAAGCGCACGUAGGCGGCUUCUUAAGUCAGGGGUGAAAUCCUGGAGCUCAACUCCAGAACUGCCUUUGAUACUGAGGAGCUUGAGUCCGGGAGAGGUGAGUGGAACUGCGAGUGUAGAGGUGAAAUUCGUAGAUAUUCGCAAGAACACCAGUGGCGAAGGCGGUCUUCUGGCCAGUACCUGACGCUGAGGCACGAAAGCGUGGGGAGCAAACAGG